rnacentral:rRNA from 1 species
AACAUUACGGCAUGCAAUGUCGAGCGAGAACCGUAGCAAUACGGCGGACAGCGGCGAACUGGGACAGUAAUGUGUAGGUACCUACCCCUGGGUCCGGGAUAGCUGCGGGAAACUGCAGGUAAUUACCGGAUAACGUCUGAGGACCAAAGGUGUGAUUCCACCUGGUGGAGGGUGCCUGCAUCCUAUUAGCUUGUUGGUGGGGUAACGGCUCACCAAGGCAACGAUGGGUAGCGGGUGUGAGAGCACGACCCGCGUCAUUGGGACUGAGAUACUGCCCAGAACCACCUACGCGGUGGCUGCAGUCGAGGAUCUUCGGCAAUCGGUGCGGAAACCCUGACCGAAGCGACGCCGGCGUGUGGCGAUGAAGGCCUCUCGGGUUGUAAACCACUGUCGUAGAGGAGCGAAAUGCAGGGCGGCGUUCUCCCCUGUUGCUUGACCUAUUCUAGGAGGAAGUACGGGCUAAGUUCGUGCCAGCAGCCGGCGGUAAGACGAACCGUACAAACGUAUACUCGGAAUUACUGGGCUCUAAAGGGUGCGUAGGUCUGCGCGGAAAGUCUGGCGUGUGAACAGCCCUCAGCUCAACUGAGGAAGCAUACACUCAAUAACUACCGUGCUCGAGGGAGACAGAGGUAAGCGGAACUCAAGGUGGAGCCGUGAAAUGCGUUCUGAUGACUUGAGGAACACCGGUGGCGAAGGCGGCUUACUGGGUCUCUUCUGACGCUGAGGCACGAACAGCUAAGGUAGCCAAAUUCGGGAUUGAAGAUACCCCGGUAGUCUUAGCUGUAAAUCGAUGAGCACUUGUAUUGAAGGGUCCUCCAUAGCCUUGUCAGACGUAGCGAAAGUGUUAAGUGCUCCGCCUGGCGGAGUAUGGUCGCAAUGGCUGAAACUCAAAUGAAAUUGACGGUCGGGCUCACACAAGCGGUGGAGGAUGUGGCUUAAUUCGAGGCAGAACGCGAAGUAACCUUAUCCUAGGUCUCGACAUGCACGGAUCAAACUCGGUGAAAGCCGAGCCAGGCCUUUCGGGUACAAUCGUGCACAGGUGCUGGCAUGGCCUUGUCGUCAGCUCGUGUCGUAGAGAUGUUCGCCGUUAAGUCGCUUGAACGAGCGAAACCUCUUGUCUCUAGUUGCCAGCACGUCAUGGUGGCGGACUCUAGAGAGACCGCCGGCGUUAAGCCGGAGGAAGGUGGGGAUGACGUUAAGUCCUCAUGGCCCUUAUGGACUAGGGCUGCACACGUCCUACAAUGGAGCGCACAAAGGGAUGCAAAUACCGCGAGGUCGAGCAAAUCCCAAAUAAACGCUCCCUAGUUCGCGAUUGCAGGCUGCAACUCGCCUGCAUGAAGUUGGAAUCGCUAGUAAUCGCGGGUCAGCAAUACCGCGGUGAAUGUGAUUCCUGAGCCCUUGUACACACCGCCUCGACUG